UACGAAGGGGGCUAGCGUUGCUCGGAAUCACUGGGCGUAAAGGGUGCGUAGGCGGGUCUUUAAGUCAGGGGUGAAAUCCUGGAGCUCAACUCCAGAACUGCCUUUGAUACUGAAGAUCUUGAGUUCGGGAGAGGUGAGUGGAACUGCGAGUGUAGAGGUGAAAUUCGUAGAUAUUCGCAAGAACACCAGUGGCGAAAGCGGCUCUCUGGGGACCAUCUGACGCUGAGGCGCGAAAGCGUGGGGAGCGAACCGG
rnacentral:rRNA from 1 species